AACAGGUAGACUCUAUGCUGGGUGCUGGGGUACAGAGCUGUGAACAGGAGACUCUAGCUCAGAAGGAAGACAGCGAUGAUGGAAGAGGUGACUUCUGUGGCAGUCUUGGGCCCACGCUGCAUGAACUAAUCCAGAAUUUGUGAAGAAGGCUGAGGAACAGGCCCAGGACAUUUUGGCCACUCUGUGCUGAGAUGACCCCGGGGAGGGAGCCAUUCUGUUAUUCAUUUGCCAAAUCAGGUUCAUUCAGCUACAAAGUCUCCAAGAAAUCUGCACGCAAGGCUACCCCAAACACCAUAGCCCAUACCCAAAACAGAUUCUCUCUCUAGUGUUUCAAAGGGCCCCCUAAAGUGCCAGAUGCUAUUAUAGAGACUGAGGGUCACAGCAGCAAGAUCAUACUGCAUCCACUGUCUUCUGGGAUGGCUAUGAAAAGGAACCAGCCUGGGGAAAGUCUCCGGGGGCUUCCAGGAGGAGGUGGGCUGGGGAUAACCUCACCAACUGGGUGGGAUUCAGUUGAACAGAUAGAAAGAGUCAAGGCAUUUUUCCAACUCGGGUCUGUCAGUAUGGCUCCUCCAAAGAAGGACCAUUCUGCCAUCAAUGAGUUAGUGGUCCAAGAAUGCACCCUCAACAUUCACAAGCACAAGCACAAGCACGCUUUAAGAAGCGUGCCCCUUGGUCAUGCAAAGAGAUCUGGAAAUUUGCCAUGGAAGAGAUGGGGACUCUAGAUGUGCACGUUGAUACCAGGUAAAGAAAAACUGCAAAAAAAUAGGAAGGGAAAAGGAAGGAAGGAAAAAAGGAAGGAGGGAAGGAAGGAAGGAAGGAAGGAAGGAAAAGAAAGAGAGCUGAGGUAUUUCAGGGAAGAAAAGCAACAUAAGAAAAACAGGCCGGGUACUCAUGCCUGUAAUCCCAGCAUUUGGGGAGGUCAAGGCAGGUGGAUCACCUGAGGUCAGGAGUUCGAGACCAGCCUGGCCAACAUGGUGAAACCCCAUCUCUACUAAAAAUACAAAAAAAAAAAAAAUUUAGCCAGGCAUGGUGGCACGUGCCUGUAAUCCCAGGUACUCAGGAGGCUGAGGCAGGAGAAUCACUUGAACCAGGGAGGCAGAGGUUGCAGUAAGCCAAGAUAGUGCCAUUGCACUCCAGCCUGGGCAACAAGGGUGAAACUCUGUCUCAAAAAAAUAAAAAAGAAAGAAAGAAAGUUGGCAACUGACAGAGGCCCAGGGCCCUCUAUGCCUGUGUUCCCAGCUGAAACACAGAGGGCUCCCUUAAAUACACAAGUUACAGCCAUCUCAAAAAAAAAAAAAAAAAAAGAGAGAGAGAGACAGAGAAAAGAAAAGAAAAAAAUCAGCCUUGCUCAAAGAGAGGUCUAGCCUUUGCCAUCAGCUCUUGGGAAGGGAUCUCUAAGCCCUUGGAAUGUCCUGUGUCAUAAGUGUCUGUUUACCUGGGGGCCUAGGGCCACACCAGAUAAUCUAAAAACGUGAUUUAGGGUAGGAGCUUUGGGCCCCUGCAGUAUCAGCUCUGUGAAGAGGCUGGAAAACGAGGUCAGCCACAUGGACCAUCAGCUACGUCUCAGUGACCAAGUCCUAAUAAAAGCUGAACGCCAAGGCUCUGCCAAGCUUCCUGGUGGCCAAGGUCCCAUGUGGGUUGUCACACAUCAUUGCUGGGGACAUUUAGUGCUGCCCACAACUCUACUGGUGGAGAACAACUGGAAGCUCUGCUGGAAACUUCCCAGACUCCGUCUCAUGAGUCUUUUCCCUGGGCUGAUUUUAAUCUGUAUCCUAUGCUGUAAUAAACCGUAACCAUGAG
rnacentral:lncRNA from 10 species